AAAGCAGCCAUACAUUCAAAGAGUGCGUAAUAGCUCACUGGUCGGGAGGUCCUGCGCCGAAAAUGUCCGGGGCUGAAACACGACACCGAAGCUGAGGAAUCCUAAGGGAUUGGUAGAGGAGCAUUGCAUAUGCGACGAAGCAGUACCGUAAGGAGCUGUGGAGUGUAUGGAAGAGAGAAUGCCGGAAUGAGUAGCGAGAGGAAGGUGGGAAUCCUUCCGGCCGAAUAUCCAAGGUUUCCAGAGUAAAGCUGAUCUGCUCUGGGUAAGUCGGGGCCUAAGGCCAGGUCGAAAGACGUAGCCGAUGGACAACAGGUUGAGAUUCCUGUACUGCGAUAUGACAGAACUGUGGGGACGCAUGUGGAAAGCAUAAGCACGGAAUGGAAAGCCGUGUACAAGCGAGGUAGGAGCCAUGUAGGAAAAUCCGCGUGGCAAUCCGAAGGCGUGAUGUGGACCGAACUUUCAGUAGGGAAGUAUGUGAGCCAUGUGCCGGGAAAAGCCGCUAUUGUUCAUACCGCACCCGUACCGUAAACCGACACAGGUGGAUGAGGAGAGAAUCCUAAGGCCGACGGAAGAAGCAUUGUUAAGGAACUCGGCAAAAUAGCCCCGUAACUUCGGGAGAAGGGGUGCCUGGAAACAGGCCGCAGAGAAUUGGCCCAAGCAACUGUUUAGUAAAAACACAGGUCUAUGCGAAACCGAAAGGUGAGGUAUAUGGGCUGACGCCUGCCCGGUGCUGGAAGGUUAAGAGGAGAGCUUAGCGCAAGCGAAGGUUUGAAUUUAAGCCCCAGUAAACGGCGGCCGUAACUAUAACGGUCCUAAGGUAGCGAAAUUCCUUGUCGGGUAAGUUCCGACCCGCACGAAAGGCGUAAUGAUUUGGGCGCUGUCUCGACAAUGCAUCCGGUGAAAUUGAAGUACCAGUGAAGAUGCUGGUUACCUGCGCCAGGACGGAAAGACCCCAUGGAGCUUUACUCCAGCUUGACACUGGGAUUCGGUAAUGCAUGUACAGGAUAGGUGGGAGGCAAUGAAAUAGGGACGCCAGUUUCUAUGGAGCCGCUGUUGGGAUACCACCCUUGCGUUAUUGGGUUUCUAACCUGCCGCCGUUACCCGGCGGGGGGACAAUGUCUGGCGGGGAGUUUGACUGGGGCGGUCGCCUCCGAAAGAGUAUCGGAGGCGCCCAAAGGUUCCCUCAGAAUGGUUGGAAACCAUUCGAAGAGUGCAAAGGCAGAAGGGAGCUUGACUGCGACACCGACGGGUGGAGCAGGUACGAAAGUAGGGCUUAGUGAUCCGGUGGUAUUAAGUGGGAAUGCCAUCGCUCAACGGAUAAAAGCUACCCUGGGAUAACAGGCUUAUCACUCCCAAGAGUUCACAUCGACGGAGUGGUUUGGCACCUCGAUGUCGGCUCAUCGCAUCCUGGGGCUGUAGUAGGUCCCAAGGGUUGGGCUGUUCGCCCAUUAAAGCGGUACGCGAGCUGGGUUCAGAACGUCGUGAGACAGUUCGGUCCCUAUCCGGCGCGGGCGUAGGAUAUUUGAGAGGAGCUGCCCUUAGUACGAGAGGACCGGGGUGGACUGACCUCUGGUGUACCGGUUGUCAUACCAAUGGCACGGCCGGGUAGCCAAGUCGGGCAGGGAUAAACGCUGAAGGCAUCUAAGCGUGAAGCCCCCCUCAAGAUGAGAUAUCCCAAGACCCCUUGAAGAACACGAGGUAGAUAGGGCAGAGGUGGAAGUGCAGUAAUGCAUGGAGCUGACUGCUACUAAUCGGUCGCAAGCUUACCAA
rnacentral:rRNA from 1 species